UUUCCACAAUCCCAUUUAUCCCUUGGUGUAAUCGAUCGGUGCUUGGGAUCUUUUAUUCCUUGCGUGUGUGUGACGACAUCAGUGAGAAUGGAAAAAAAGUCGAUCGGCCUUGGAGGGUGGGAAGAAAACGUGACCGAGAAGUGAAGGGGGAGGAAGAAAAUAUUUCUAUAUUCGAUUUGUGUGGUGAUCUUAGGCUGCGAUUUUUGGCCAAUAUUGGGGAAGGCUUGAUAUCUCAAUUUCUACAAGAGUUGAAGAGUAGAGAUGACACGUUUUUAGCAAACGUGAGUUAAUCUUAUGGAUUUCAAAGUACUAUGUUAGGGAAUUCCAUAUCUUAGAUGGAUUUGAAUGAACCUAGGCUAUUUAGGUUGCAUGUGCCCCUAUUACAUGUGAUAUGUAUUUGGGUUGCUAUGUUCCUUUAUUUGUAUGAGAACUUAUGAUGGAUUUGAAAGUACAUUGUUAGGGAAUUUCAUAUCUUAGAUGGAUUUGAAUGAACAUAGGCUAUUUAAGUGGCAUGUACCCCUAUUAUGUGUGAUAUGUAUUUGGGUUGCUAUGUUACUUUAUUUUUAUGAGAACUUAUGAUGUUAAAUGCUAGAUUCUUAAUCUUCUGAUGUGCGUGGUGUGUUAGGGCCAUGAUAGAAAGAGUGUUUUGUGAUGAUUAUAUGUGAUGGAUACAUGCCUUGCUUUCUUGGAAAUACUUGUCUAUGAUGAUUAGGACAAAGCAUACCAGUGAUGUUGUCAUGCCAUAAUGAUGAUAUAUGCAUGAACUUAUAUGUGAUGUAAAAUGUUCAACUUGUAUUCACUUGUUUACAUGUUUACAUCAGAAGUAAUUUGGGAAGUAAUAUGCUAUAAAAAGAUGAUAAUUAUAUGCAAGAAUACUUAUGGAUGUCAUUUGUGUAAACACUUAAAGAUGAACUAAUAACUAAUUAUUUAGAAAAGGAAUACACUAGUGGGGAGAAUUAAGCCAACUUUGAUGCCGAAUGGUUUUUCUAGACAACCACUCGGGACAUGGUCCAUGGUUUCUAGGAGUGGAGUGGUGUUGACGAUGGGAUAAUGACUUGAAAGGGUAACAAACUUUCGAUUUUGUUCACAUUUAGUUACUAUUUUUUUUUCAUUAUCUAUUUGCCACUGAACUAUUGAAAUUGUUCACAUUUUACCCUUAUGACCGGUAAUAGGGUAAAAUGUGAACAGUUUUAAUAGUUCAGUGACAAAUACAUAAUGAAAAAAAGUUUAGUGACUAAAUGUGAACAAAAUUGAAUUUUUGUUUCCCUCUAAUAAAAGUUCAAUGACUAAAUGUGAACAAACAUUCCUUUUGUAUUAUGGUUUAGCAAAUUAUGAAUUUUUGUUAAAUUUUAACAACAUUUGUUGAUGAAGAAAUCUGUGAAAUAAAAAAAACAAAACCCCGAAAAAGGUAUAAAAAAAACGAAAAACGAAAUUAAUAUUAUAUGUAUAAGUCUUAUGUUAUAAAACUAUGCAAUAUUAUAUGUAUAAAAAUUAUCCUAAUAUUAUAUGUUAUAAAAUAAUGAAACACAUAAUUUGACAUACAUUAAACCAUAUACGUUGUUUAAAAAAGAAUGCAUACAUACAUACAUUGAUUCAUUAUAUAUGUUGUUAUACUCCAUGUAUUGACAUACAUCAUAUUAGUAUAUUUACUAUUAAAAAGGAUAUCAAAAAUGAAAGUCAAGUUGUUUAGAAUUUAAACAUUUUUAAGUUACCUGGAUAAUUGAUUUAUAUUUGAGAUUGUAUUUUCUUAAAAAGUUUGAAUAAUUAUUGAAAUUUAUGAUUAUUUAACUAGACCUAUAGAGUUAAGUAAACCAUUAACAUCUCCAUCUCCAUACUUAAUAAAUGCCUCUCUUAAACGCCACAUGGCAUUUUAUUAAACCUCAACUAUGCCACGUGUCAUUACCACAAAAAUCCUUUGACUGUUUUUCCCGCCUAUGUCCUUCAUAUUUACUUUAUUUCGUUUCUAAAAAUUAGGAAUCAAGGAUCGGAUAUUAUCAGUGAAUAAGUUGGAUUCCAUUUCCUUUGUUGCUACCAUCCAGGAAUUUAAACUAGAAAAAUAUAUUCUUAUUUGACAAAGUCUCUGUAAUAGUUUAGAACUUUCCAUGUUGAAGCCGAACAAUCAGCCACCAAAUCAGUCGUGAGAGAUUCUUAUCUCCUAUCUCUCUUACUAAAACCCUAAUCUGUUCCUCACCAUCACCGUCUCCCUUCUCUUUCUUCCAACUCUAAUCCAUUCACCGCCACCAAUUCUGCCAUCGUCUUUCUUUCACCAUCUGCCAUCGUCUUUUUUUUCUCUGCAAAUUUGCGAUUGUUUUGUGUUGCGUUUGUGGUGAGAAGCAAAACCAUGGGGAUUUCUUCACAAGGUUUUGUCGUUGCACGACUCCUUGAUUCAUCGAGCAUAAGUGAAUCACCAAUGCUUUCAAUCUAAUCCAGAUCCGUCGGGACAAGUCUCUGUUAAAUUCAACGAGUUGACACUCCAAACAUCUCCACAUUUUACACCACAAGGGGGAGAUCUCUGGCGGUUCGGGUUCUGGUUUUGGCCUACCUCGUGAUGUUGACGGUACAGGUCACUGAAUUCAUGCAGCAGAGAAGUGUAGUAGAUUACCAAAUUGCUCUAUAUGUAUUCAUUUUAAUGAAAGUGGCGUAUGUUAUUUUGUAUUAAAAUUUCUAUUUUUUAUUCAUAUUUACCAACUGAAAUCCAAUAUCUUGAUAUCCUUUAGAAUACAGAAGCAACACUAUAAUUAGGUAGUGUUUUACUA